GUACUCUUGCUCCUGCCUUCGUCGAUUACAGUACGAGUUUUAUUCCGGAAAUCCUCUCCGCAUUGGCGUUGCAAGUCAAUUCGUGACAGAAGGAGUUGACAAUGCAGGUGGUUCAUGAAGCUUCAGAUUGGGCACUUGAGCCACUGCAGGUGAAAAAUGAAAGGGCCUUGGUGUAGAGUUUGCAGUACGAGAACCUACUAAACUGGUAACUCUGCAAGACUUUGUUAACCCCUCCCAACCCAAGUUUGAUGAAGGCUAAUAAAAAUGACUCAGUUCAGCUGCUGUAGGAUUCUGUUAUAUGGUGAAUCGAUGGUUGGUGAUUGAUGCUCUGCAGUUGGCUUAAAUAUGGGGAAGCUCCUAUUUCACAGAUGGACCUCAUGGAUGAAAAAUCCAACCCCGUAUGCUGGAUUUCCAUGAUAACCUUGGCGGUCUGUUGAUGUGACGGAUUGUGUCAUGUUCUAUCAUGGCCCUGUUAUGCUGUUAUACUGUGAUGAAUGGAAUGUUUGCAUUGUCAUGCUGGUUUUCUUAAUCGCGAAUGAAGUUAUACAAGUGAAACUUGCUGGAUGCACGCGGGAUUUCGCUUGGUUUUUGUGGCAGCUUGGAAAACGUGUAAAUGAAAUUAGAGUAUUCCUGCAAAGCUUUUGUUUCGGUUGCAUUGCCGACGGUGUGUUGGCAUGCUGUAAUCUUGUGUGUCAGUAGCACCUUCAGCAAUGUGAGCAAUGGAGGACAGGAGUGACGACGUGGAGCUCGAAAUCAGAUUUAACCUCGACGACAUUUGCAAGUUACUCUGCAACACAUUUGACAUGUGGUCUCCAACCACAUUCCUGUAGUCUCCGUAAGCACGAAGGGAUCGAUGUGUUGAUGGGCGUAAAGAUGUAGGCAGGUCUUUCUUGGUUUUUCUUCUUGAACUCUUAAUGCCGAAUCGAAAGAAUAAACUUUUAGUGGUUGUGUCAACCAUUCAAGAGGAAGCGUUUACGUAGACAGGUUGGUCAUUUCCAGUCCAUGCUAGAUCUAUUUCUCAGAAAGAUUGGAUUCCUUAGAUGGUACACAGUUCAGAUAAUGCAUUGUUGGAACCAAAUUCACCAUCAGAAUGUGGUUCUUCCCUAUCCGGAUAACAUGCAGAUGCUUCAGAAACAUGACAAGACUCCAUCUGGCCAUCUGGCUCCACAAGCUUGUGACUUUCACGAGACUCGUGCAAUUUUGAAGGCUGAGAAUUAUUUUGCUCCAGCCAAGAGUUGAAACUUUGAUCCUCAUGAAGUGAGUUAACACUAAACUCACUAUUAACAUCAGCAAAUGAAUCUCUUCCUUGUUGUUCAUGUCGUAUGAAAGUGCAUCUGCAGUGGGUUCCUUGAUAUUUCUCUGGAUGUUAAAACCGGCAAUUCGAACAGCGUCUUUUGUUGCCUUAUUAUUCUGAAUAUGAACCUUUGUCUGCUUUAGCUUACCAAUUUUCACCGGCUUUGUUUGCAGGUGGUUGAAUC